UAGAGGUCCCGCCUGCCCCGUGACACCCCAGUUUAACGGCCGCGGUAUCCUGACCGUGCAAAGGUAGCGCAAUCACUUGUCUUUUAAAUGAAGACCCGUAUGAAUGGCAUAACGAAGGCUUAACUGUCUCCUUUCUCUAGUCAAUGAAAUUGAUCUCCCCGUGCAGAAGCGGGGAUAAUACCAUAAGACGAGAAGACCCUGUGGAGCUUUAGACACAAAGCAGAUCCGGCAAACCCAUACCACCCAAGCUAAAAGAACCCUGCUCUAAUGUCUUCGGUUGGGGCGACCACGGGGAAACAAACAACCCCCACGCAGAAUAAGAGAACACUCUCUUAAAAACGAGAGCCACCACUCCAAAAAACAGAACUUCUGACUACAAGAUCCGGCAACACCGAUCAACGAACCAAGUUACCCCAGGGAUAACAGCGCAAUCCCCUUCAAGAGUCCAUAUCGACAAGGGGGUUUACGACCUCGAUGUUGGAUCAGGACAUCCUAAUGGUGCAGCCGCUAUUAAGGGUUCGU
rnacentral:rRNA from 1 species